CCUACGGGGUGCAGCAGUGGGGAAUAUUGCACAAUGGGCGCAAGCCUGGUGCAGCCAUGCCGCGUGUGUGAAGAAGGCCUUCGGGUUGUAAAGCACUUUCAGCGGGGAGGAAGGCGGUGAGGUUAAUAACCUCAUCGAUUGACGUUACCCGCAGAAGAAGCACCGGCUAACUCCGUGCCAGCAGCCGCGGUAAUACGGAGGGUGCAAGCGUUAAUCGGAAUUACUGGGCGUAAAGCGCACGCAGGCGGUCUGUCAAGUCGGAUGUGAAAUCCCCGGGCUCAACCUGGGAACUGCAUUCGAAACUGGCAGGCUAGAGUCUUGUAGAGGGGGGUAGAAUUCCAGGUGUAGCGGUGAAAUGCGUAGAGAUCUGGAGGAAUACCGGUGGCGAAGGCGGCCCCCUGGACAAAGACUGACGCUCAGGUGCGAAAGCGUGGGGAGCAAACAGGAUUAGAUACCCGAGUAGUC
rnacentral:rRNA from 1 species